CCCCUAGAUGUUCUGGGCCGCACGCGCGCUACACUGAACAGUUCAACAAGUCUUAACCUUGGCCGAUAGGUCUGGGUAAUCUUUGAACGCUGUUCGUGAUUGGGAUAGACCUUUGCAAUUAUGGGUCUUCAACGAGGAAUUCCUAGUAAACGAAAGUCAUCAGCUUGCAUUGAUUACGUCCCUGCCCUUUGUACACACCGCCCGUCGCACCUACCGAUUGAAUGGUCCGGUGAAAUCUCGGGACGGCGGCUCGGUCGCUUGCGUCCGACUGCUGAAACUUGAUUAAACCAUAUCAUUUAGAGGAAGGUGAAGUCGUAACA
rnacentral:rRNA from 1 species